rnacentral:rRNA from 1 species
AGAAUCAACGCUGGCGGCGUGCCUAACACAUGCAAGUCGAACGAGAAAGUGGAGCAAUCCGAUGAGUAAAGUGGGCGCACGGGUGAGUAACACGUGACUAACCUACCCCUCGAGUGGGGAAUAACUUCGGGAAACCGAGGCUAAUACCGCAUAAACCUAAGGGUCAAAGGAGCAAUCCGUUUGAGGAGGGGGUCGCGGUCAGAGUUAGGUUAGUUGGCGGGGUAAUGGCCCACCAAGACGAUGGAUCGGUAU